AUGGAGAUCACCCAGUAGCCCUCAGGAGUCGGGGCUCCCACUUGUGAACCGGGAGCUCAGCUGAGACUCUCUGCGUGGCCAACCCUCUCCAGAGACCGGCUCCACCGCCAGCCAGAUUGGAUGCUGAGCGUGUCCACACAGCACGCACUCACUGGGACUCAGCGUGCUGGGACUCAGCUCCCCGCCGCCCAGUCCCUCGGGCCUAGGUCAGCUCGCCAGCUGGUGGCCUGAGGCAGAUCUCAGGACCUCCCUGUGCCUCAGUUUCCUCACCUGAAAAAUGGGAAUAAUUGGAGUUGCUUCCUCAGAGUACCCCUGCCCCUAGCUCCCUGCAGGUACAGUGGGGAUGGGGCAGGAGAUAGAGCGGGGACCUGCAGGACGUACCCCUCCCCCAGGGAAUGGGGGACGCCACCCCACCCCUGGCGAGCCCGGAAGGUGGCUGCUGAUUGAACAAUGGGAGAAACAAGCUUUCUUCUAGCGCAAGGUGACUCACCUGCUGGCCCAGGGACAAAGCUCCCCCAGCCACUCCCCACCGCCCGCCACCCCCCACCGCCCGCCACACACACACACACACACACAUACACACACACACACCGCACAGCACGGAGAGGGGGUGAGUCAUUCCACCCCACCACAUCUGUGAUGGCCUCCCUGGGUGCGUACUAACCUGUGGGGUGGGGGGAUUAUACUAAGGGCCGCCCGGGACCCUCCCUGCUUGGCCUCACAGCCAGGGAGAGAAGGCCCAACCACCCCCAGCCUGGCAUUCAAGGCCUGGCUUUGAACACAUGCCCCCCCCCCACACACCCCAGCUUCAUUCAGUUUUAUCUCAUUGACUCAUUCAACAAACAUUCCCUAAUGAAGUCCUGUGAGGGCCCCGAAACUGGGCUAACGCCAGACGCCUCCCCAGCCCCACCGCCUCUUCCUCAGAUGACAAGGAGUCUUUUCGUCCUUCCAUUGGCCUACCUGACUUGGACUCCUACACAUCCUACAAAACCCAACCUCAGGGCUCCUCCUCCAGGAAGGGAGGACUGCCGCCUCCCCAGUUCUGAUCUCAGGGGGAUGGGGAUGACUUUUCCCCUCCCUAAGUAUGGGAGCCCCAGCGGGAGGGACAGAGGCUGUGGCCGCAGCUCUAGGGUGGUGGGGGCAGGGGAGCAGGAGUGAUCUGAGAAGUUUGCUAAAUCCAGCGAAUGGCCUGGUUCCCCUCCCCCAUCCCCGGUCUGCAGAUUCUGCCUAAGGAGGUGCGAAUCCCUUCCCCUUUCCCCAUUCCCCAUUCCCCAGUCCAACACCCCCUCCCCACCCAGAGGUCCACGAGGCGAGACAGACCCAAAGAGAGAGGCAAGGACGUGGGCGUUGGUCGGUCUUGCGGGGAGGAGGUGCCGUGCUCUCCCCACUUCCUGACCCAGCAGAAAGCGCCCGGGCGUGUCCAGAUAAACCGCGCCUUAAUCGAGGCGCCAUUCCGGCCCGGAACAGGCCAGGCCCAGCCAGCCUAACCCACCUGGGGACGCCCCUCGGACCCUCCCGGGGCGGGGUCCUCACUCCCGACCAGGACCUCUGUCUCUGCAUCUGCGAAGUGGGCGCCCCCAGGCCUGUGCUCCCCCCACCCACCUGUCGUCUCGUCUCGGCUUUCAGGGUGCAGAGUGGACACUCCCAGGUGUCCAAGCCGGCGAGCUCGGGUCCCGCAGAACCGGCGGCCCUGGAGACGCCCCGAGGGCAGCCCCGCUGCAGCCUUGCUCGGGUCCCCUAGCCCGGCGCCUCCGCAAACCAACCCACCGCGGGCCGCCGAGCCCCGCUCCGGGAUCCGCCGGCUGCCUCCAUCCCAGAAGAGUGCGCAGAGAAUUAAAUCUAGAUAUUUACAUGUUUAAUGGCUAAAGGAGCCUGUCUUCUGGCAGGGCAGGGAGGGCGCUCAGGUGGUUUAACUCAGCGCCGGGAUCCCGCUCAGCUGCGGGGGCCGCGAACCCCGCCGCUGGGCCGACGAUUGGGCCCCUCCGGAGCGCGGCGCCCAACGCGGGUUUCGUUGCGUCGGGGAAGUCCGUGGCCUGCAGCGUCCAGUCCCCAGGCUGUCAGCCGAGCCCUGGAGUGGGGCGUUCUCCAGGCCCCCAACCCCUGAUCCAGGCCGUUCCCCUCCCGCGCACCCUCCGGCGGGGGCUGCAGCCCGCGCCCCUCGCCGCCAAGCCCCAUUUUCCCACAGUGCAAACUGCAGCAAACGAACUGGUUUUCUCCUGAGCGCACGCUGCGGGGAGACGAUUCCAACGGCGUCCAGUGAGGAGGGGCCCAGGCCUGCGAGACGGGGCGCGUUCCUGUCCCCAGACCCCUCCGGCUGCGCCUCAACCCCCAGCCCGGCUCUCUGACCUGCAUCGGUCGGGCCGGGCACAGAGGAGGCAAAGCAGGCGGAGGCCGCGAGAGGAGAGCAGCCUGACCUCCCGCCUGAGCCCGGACCCUUCCCCUCGGGCACCCUCGGACGCCCCCGCCCCAGCGUGUUACUUUCUAGAUGGGGAAACUGAGGCGCGGCCAGGGCGAUGCGGCGGAAGUCCCGCGCCCGGCCGUCUCCCGCGCCUGCCAGA
rnacentral:lncRNA from 1 species